rnacentral:misc_RNA from 1 species
ACUCAAGAGGAACUACUUGGUGCUACUUCUACAGCAAAUAUGGAAUUCCUGACACGAAGAAGGCCUAUUAAUAGCUCGCCCGAGAAUUAUAUGAAUGGUUCUCCCACUAAAAUACCAGGUUUCUUCAAAUAUGGACUAUAAUUGGAAACAGUAUGCCUUACAGAAAGAAGAGGUCCUGACAAUUAACUUGAUGUUGGAUUUCUAUGAAGAUUAUCCAGUCACUGGAAGUUAUUUUAUGGCAACAGAAGCAGCAGCUAAGCCCAAUUUGAGAACAAGGCGCCUAGACGAAUAUCACACCCAUCAAGAACAGCCCCUGCACAAGAGAACAAAAUGCAGAAAAUUAAGAUCCAUCAAAGCUACAGCUCGCUGUAAUUCCGCCAAACAGCACGAAAUUC